rnacentral:miRNA from 1 species
CAGGGUCUCCUUUCUGCUAGGAGCUGAACACUCAUCAGGACACCCUGGCUGUGGAAAGGAGCUACC